rnacentral:rRNA from 1 species
UAUACUUGGGAGUCAGACUGUGGGUGAUAAGAUUCAUAGUCGAAAGGGCAACAGCCCAGAUCGUCAGCUAAGGUCCCUAAAUGUAAGUUAAGUGGUAAAGGAUGUGGGAUUGCACAGACAACCAGGAUGUUGGCUUAGAAGCAGCCACUCAUUCAAAGAGUGCGUAAUAGCUCACUGGUCGAGUGAUCCUGCGCCGAAGAUUUCCGGGGCUAAAACUUACUACCGAAGCUACGGCAUCAGUAAUGAUGGGUAGGGGAGCUUCCCAUACGGGUUGAAGCAUGACCGUAAGGACAUGUGGACAGUAUGGGAGUGAGAAUGUUGGCAUGAGUAGCGAGAUGUGGGUGAGAAUCCCACAGGCCGUAAACCCAAGGUUUCCAGGGGAAGGUUCGUCCGCCCUGGGUUAGUCGGGACCUAAGCUGAGGCCGAAAGGCGUAGGUGAUGGACAACAGGUUGAUAUUCCUGUACUACCGAUAACCGUUUGAGAGAAGGGAUGACACAGUAGGAUAAGCUAAGCACACUGUUGGUUAUGUGUGCCCAAGCAUUGAGGCAGUCAAAGUAGGCAAAUCCGCUUUGAUAAUGCUGGGAUGUGAUGGGGAGCGAAAUUUAGUAGCGAAGUAGCUGAUUUCACACUGUCAAGAAAAGUCUCUAUCGAGGUUAAAGGUACCCGUACCGCAAACCGACACAGGUGGGUGAGGAGAGUAUCCUAAGGCCAGCGAGAGAACUGUUGUUAAGGAACUCGGCAAAAUGACCCCGUAACUUAGGGAUAAGGGGUGCCACCAUCAGGUGGCCGCAGAGAAUAGGCCCAAGCGACUGUUUACCAAAAACAUAGGUUUCUGCUAAGUCGCAAGACGAUGUAUAGGAGCUGACGCCUGCCCGGUGCUGGAAGGUUAAGGGGAUCUGUUAGAGCAAUCGAAGCAGUGAACUUAAGCCCCAGUAAACGGCGGCCGUAACUAUAACGGUCCUAAGGUAGCGAAAUUCCUUGUCGGGUAAGUUCCGACCCGCACGAAAGGCGUAACGAUUUGGGCACUGUCUCAACAACAGACUCGGUGAAAUUGUAAUUCCGGUGAAGAUGCCGGAUACCUGCGACAGGACGGAAAGACCCCAUGGAGCUUUACUGUAGCUUGACAUUGGGUCUUGGUACUACAUGUACAGGAUAGGUGGGAGGCUUUGAAACCAGGACGCCAGUUUUGGCGGAGCCAUCCUUGGGAUACCACCCUUGUAGUACUGGGACUCUAACCAUAGGCCAUGAAUCUGGUCUUGGGACACUGUCAGG